UACAGAGGGGGCAAGCGUUAUUCGGAAUUAUUGGGCGUAAAGGGCGCGUAGGCGGCCUGGCAAGUGACGGGUGAAAGCCCUCGGCUCAACCGAGGAACUGCCUGUCAUACUGCCGGGCUUGAGUCCGGGAGAGGUGAGUGGAACUCCCAGUGUAGCGGUGAAAUGCGUAGAUAUUGGGAGGAACACCAGUGGCGAAGGCGGCUCACUGGACCGGAACUGACGCUGAGGCGCGAAAGCGUGGGGAGCAAACAGG
rnacentral:rRNA from 1 species